ACGGGUGAGUAAUACAUCGGAACGUGCCCAGUAGUGGGGGAUAGCCCGGCGAAAGCCGGAUUAAUACCGCAUACGACCUACGGGUGAAAGCGGGGGAUCGCAAGACCUCGCGCUAUUGGAGCGGCCGAUGUCAGAUUAGCUAGUUGGUGGGGUAAAAGCCUACCAAGGCGACGAUCUGUAGCUGGUCUGAGAGGACGACCAGCCACACUGGGACUGAGACACGGCCCAGACUCCUACGGGAGGCAGCAGUGGGGAAUUUUGGACAAUGGGCGCAAGCCUGAUCCAGCCAUGCCGCGUGCGGGAAGAAGGCCUUCGGGUUGUAAACCGCUUUUGUCAGGGAAGAAACGGCCUGAUCUAAUAAAUCGGGCUAAUGACGGUACCUGAAGAAUAAGCACCGGCUAACUACGUGCCAGCAGCCGCGGUAAUACGUAGGGUGCAAGCGUUAAUCGGAAUUACUGGGCGUAAAGCGUGCGCAGGCGGCUUUGCAAGACAGAUGUGAAAUCCCCGGGCUUAACCUGGGAACUGCAUUUGUGACUGCAUGGCUAGAGUGCGGCAGAUGGGGAUGGAAUUCCGCGUGUAGCAGUG
rnacentral:rRNA from 1 species